AUCUAUUUUAAAAUGAAAAUUUCCACGAUAAUUAUCGAACAAUGUAGAAAAAUAGGAAGAAUUCUUGGCAACAAAUGGAAUUAUCACUUAGUUAUAAAUCUUUUACAUGAAUUAAUGCACUCUCAUAAUGGAACUUUACCAAAAAAAAAAAAAAAUUAACAAUGAAAAACAAAUAACAAAAUAAAAAUAACCUGAAAAAGUAAUACUAAUAAAUGAAAUGCUGAAUUGGUUACGCCUUAAAUUUGCCGUAAAAAAAACAUUUUUUUGUCCAUAUUCAAUAUUAUAUUUCAUCUUUCUUUUAAUUUCACGAAUAAGCAAUGUUUACCAUAUAACCAUCAGUCAUAUAAGACGUAAUAUCCACACUACAUCAAUGUUGUCAUUGUCAUAAAGACCCAAACAAGCUUGUAAAUAUAGAAAGGAGAAAAAUAAAUGGCAGACAUCUUUCGAUAUGGUUUAUUUGACAGUAUUUACAGAAAAAACAAUAACAAAAGGAAAUUCAAUCUCUCUAACUCAUUUACUGGGAGAGAUUGUAAAUACUUAAAUUUUCAAAGCCAGCAAAACAAAGUGUAUGCAAAAUUUCAAUUUACAAUAAAGAUAUUUGUAAUUGUAAGACUCUUAAUGUGCCUUUUUUUUCU
rnacentral:sRNA from 1 species